rnacentral:rRNA from 1 species
AGAGAGAGACAUGCGCGCAUAUCAAUAAGCGGAGGAAAAGAAACUAACAAGGAUUCCCCUAGUAACGGCGAGUGAAGCGGGAAGAGCUCAAAUUUGAAAUCUUAAAGGGUUUCCCUUUACGAAUUGUAGUUUAAAGAAGUGUUUUCUGUUGAGGUUUUGGUAAAAGUUCUUUGGAAUAGGACAUCAUAGAGGGUGAGAAUCCCGUAUUUGACCUUUACUUUCAACUUUGUGAUACACUUUCAAAGAGUCGGAUUGUUUGGGAAUGCAGUCCAAAAUGGGUGGUAAAUUUCAUCUAAAGCUAAAUAUUGGCGAGAGACCGAUAGCGAACAAGUACCGUGAGGGAAAGAUGAAAAGAACUUUGAAAAGAGAGUUAAACAGUACGUGAAAUUGUCAAAAGGGGAGCGUUUGACACCAGUGUUGUUUUUCUGAAAAUCAAUUAAAGAACUGUUUAUGCUAAGUUGUUUAGACUUUAUCAGCUAAUCUGUUUAGUUUUGAGCUUUUCUUUAAUGCACUUUUCAGUUAACAAGUCAACAUCAAUUUCUUUUGCUGUAAAAAAGCUUGAGGAAGGUGGCUUGAGAUUCGUCUUAAGUGCUUAUAGCCUCUUGCCUAUGCAGUCGGAGAGAUUGAGGUCUGCAGCGUAGAUCCUUCGGGGCUAAAUGCAUUUGUGCUAAGUUAUAGCAUUUUAUAGACAACUUGUUGACUAUGAUUUGUCUUGUAGCUUACUCGCUUAUGUUAUUUUACCUACGCUUAGGAUGUUGAGCGCAUGUCUCUCUCU